CGAUUAACGCGAAGAACCUUACCAGGUCUUGACAUCUUCUGCUAACCUAAGAGAUUAGGCGUUCCCUUCGGGGACGGAAUGACAGGUGGUGCAUGGUUGUCGUCAGCUCGUGUCGUGAGAUGUUGGGUUAAGUCCCGCAACGAGCGCAACCCUUAUUGUCAGUUGCCAGCAUUUAGUUGGGCACUCUGGCGAGACUGCCGGUGACAAACCGGAGGAAGGUGGGGAUGACGUCAAAUCAUCAUGCCCCUUAUGACCUGGGCUACACACGUGCUACAAUGGACGGUACAACGAGUCGCGAAACCGCGAGGUCAAGCUAAUCUCUUAAAGCCGUUCUCAGUUCGGAUUGUAGGCUGCAACUCGCCUACAUGAAGUUGGAAUCGCUAGUAAUCGUGGAUCAGCAUGCCACGGUGAAUACGUUCCCGGGUCUUG
rnacentral:rRNA from 1 species